rnacentral:lncRNA from 1 species
GCCUUUCCUCCGAGAGGGCGGGAUCCCUCCGCCGCUCCGCUCCAACACAAAAUAGGGCCGCCUCUUCUCCUUUCUCCCCCUCUCGAGUGGGGUGCCCCGGGCAAAAGGCCCCCCCGGAUCUAGCGCCGAAGGCUUCACGAAUCUUCACGACCGCUGCCCAGCUCUUGGGCCAGGAAAUAGCCCCUUCGCAGGAACCACCCUACCGGCCGAACAGGAGGCGGAGGGGGGGAGGCGGAGCGGCGCCGCGCUGCACUACUUUCCUCUCCGGUUGCAAAUGGCUGCCUCGUUCCCCACUUUCCGCUCAGUUUCCUGACCCCCCGGUGCCGGGAGCCGGGGUUGGGCCAUGCACCUCUAGGCCGCCUGCGAUCACAGUCAGCCGGGGGUCGAGGGGGUGCCACCGACCAGAGCCGGCCAGGCCGGGGGCGGGGCAGCUCCCGAGGCCAGAGGGGAAGGGAGGCGAGCGCAGGGCCUGGAGCGGCCGGAGGGGAGCGGGCAGAGGGCUCGCACCGCCCGCCCCUUCCUUUUCCUCGCCUACCUAGCCUCCUCCCUUCCCCGGGGGGAGCAGAAGGUGGGGGGCUCGAAGCCGCCGAGGGUGAGCGCUCG